rnacentral:rRNA from 1 species
AUUGAACGCUGGCGGCAGGCUUAACACAUGCAAGUCGAACGAGUGGCGGACGGGUGAGUAAUGUUUGGGAAUCUGGCUGAUGGAGGGGGAUAACGACGGGAAACGGUCGCUAAUACCGCGUACCAUCGGAUGUGCCCAGAUGGGAUUAGGUAGUUGGUGGGGGAAAGGCUCACCAAGGCGACGAUCCCUAGCUGGUCUGAGAGGAUGACCAGCCACACUGGAACUGAGACACGGCCCAGACUCCUACGGGAGGCAGCAGUGGGGAAUAUUGCGCAAUGGGGGCAAGCCUGACGCAGCCAUGCCGCGUGUAUGAAGAAGGCCUUCGGGUUGUAAAGUUCUUUCGGUGACGAGGCGUUAAUCGCAGAAGAAGCACCGGCUAACUCCGUGCCAGCAGCCGCGGUAAUUC